UUCACCAUUGCAAUAACAGGCAUUGCUGUUAUACUAGGAUCACUUCUUUUCCAGAGGAAAACAGGGAAUAAUCAAGUGCAUUAGCAGCAGAGAAGGUACACUUUAGGGUUUAUGUGAAUCACAGCUCCAAGGCUAUUUAUUUCCAUUUGUCUGGAUCUGUAAUCAACUGAGAGCUUACUGUUGUUACUGUAUUAAACUCAUUGGGAUUGUGAUAGUGCAUUGACAGCUUGCGUUCUGGUAUCGUUCAUUGGAAAUUAGCUUCAGCAUUUGUUCGCGUAAAAAAUGGGCUUUUGUAAAGUUACGUUCUUGUAAUUGCUGGGAAUUCCACUUCUGUCAAUCCCAAUGAGUUUAAUACAGUAACAA
rnacentral:misc_RNA from 1 species